AUCACUUCUCAGCCUUUUGGCUAAGAUCCAGUAUUUGUUCUAAUCAGCUUAACAUAUGGUAUGUCCUCUGUCUGAAGAUGGUAUGUUAAAUGUUAAUUUUUGGAGCAAGUAGAUGGAAUAGGAGUUUGCUCUGUCAACUUUACAUAUUGACCUGAUAUUACAGUACUUCCAGGAAUGGUGCACCCUAU
rnacentral:snRNA from 1 species